GGUUCAGGGGGUCUCCAAGAGAAAGAGAGCUUUUGUGAGGGAAACUUCAUGUGAGAGAGAAUUGGGUGUACAAGGGUUGAGGGUGAGGUCUCCUCUUGUAAAAUUUUCUUUUCAUAGUGAAGUUUGCAUGCCCCGUGGAGGCGAGCCCUUUUGUGGCUGAUCCACGUAUUUUGAUUAUUUUUCCUUCUGUUUUGUUUCUUCUUUCUUCCUGCUGCAUCGCGUGGUACUGAAAGGGUCUUGGGAGGUGGUGUCCUGGCCAGACAUCCACCCAACAAAAAUG
rnacentral:lncRNA from 1 species